GCCAACAAGGCCUUUACUGACGCUAAAGCUCGAAGGUGCGGGUAUCGAACAGGAUUAGAUACCCUGGUAGUCCGCACGGUAAACGAUGGAUGCCCGCUGUUUGCGAUAUACUGUGAGCGGCCAAGAGAAAUCGUUAAGCAUCCCACCUGGGGAGUACGCCGGCAACGGUGAAACUCAAAGGAAUUGACGGGGGCCCGCACAAGCGGAGGAACAUGUGGUUUAAUUCGAUGAUACGCGAGGAACCUUACCCGGGCUUGAACUGCAGGCGAACGAUACAGAGAUGUUGAGGCCCUUCGGGGCGCCUGUGGAGGUGCUGCAUGGUUGUCGUCAGCUCGUGCCGUGAGGUGUCGGCUUAAGUGCCAUAACGAGCGCAACCCUUUUCAUUAGUUGCCAUCAGGUAAAGCUGGGCACUCUGGUGAUACUGCCACCGUAAGGUGUGAGGAAGGUGGGGAUGACGUCAAAUCAGCACGGCCUUUACGUCCGGGGCUACACACGUGUUACAAUGGGAGGUACAGAGAGACGGAUGUACGCAAGUACAUUCUAAUCCUAAAAGCCUUCCUCAGUUCGGAUUGGGGUCUGCAACCCGACCCCAUGAAGCUGG
rnacentral:rRNA from 1 species